UACGUAGGGUGCGAGCGUUGUCCGGAAUUAUUGGGCGUAAAGAGCGUGUAGGCGGCCAGGUAGGUCAGCUGUGAAAACUCGAGGCUCAACCUCGAGACGUCGGUUGAAACCACCUGGCUAGAGUCCGGAAGAGGAGAGUGGAAUUCCUGGUGUAGCGGUGAAAUGCGCAGAUAUCAGGAGGAACACCGGUGGCGAAGGCGGCGUUCUGGACUGCAACUGACACUGAGGAACGAAAGCCAGGGGAGCAAACGGG
rnacentral:rRNA from 1 species